rnacentral:rRNA from 1 species
ACGCACGCUGGCGGCGUGCUUAACACCUGCCAGUCGAACGGAAAGGCCCUGCUUGCCGGGUGCUCGAGUGGCGAACGGGUGAGUAACACGUGGGUGAUCUGCCCCUUACUUUGGGAUAAGCCUGGGAAACUGGGUCUAAUACUGGAUAGGACCAUGCUGUAGGUGGUGUGGUGGAAAGAUUAGUUUCGGUAAGGGAUGAGCUCGCGGCCUAUCAGCUUGUUGGUGGGGUAAUGGCCUACCAAGGCGUCGACGGGUAGCCGGCCUGAGAGGGUGGACGGCCACAUUGGGACUGAGAUACGGCCCAGACUCCUACGGGAGGCAGCAGUGGGGAAUAUUGCACAAUGGGCGCAAGCCUGAUGCAGCGACGCCGCGUGGGGGAUGACGGCCUUCGGGUUGUAAACUCCUUUCAGCCAUGACGAAGCCCUUGUGGUGACGGUAGUGGUAGAAGAAGCACCGGCUAACUACGUG